rnacentral:lncRNA from 1 species
AAGAAAGAAGAAAUUCUUAAUUUUGCUUCUAUUUUGCGAGAAUUUCGUAAUUUGUUGUUGAAAUUUAGUGUAUUUUCUCGAUCAAUAACAAACAGCAAACAGACACGACCCAACCUAAAUCUCGUACAAUAUCUUUGCAUCAUGUAACUUUCCGAUGUCUGCAUGUACAUAACCUUGUUAUUACGUGUUGCUUACCUUCAAUAACCGAAACCAAUUUUCGUAAGUGUUCAGGUUUUGUGCUUCAAAGUAAAUUGUUGUUUUGUCAACUUGAAUCACCCUGUGCCGGGUCUUCUAGAUAAUUUUAAACUAGAUCCUCGUCAUGGGAUGGCUUAGUAACUUUUCAUAUGUUGAGCUAGUUUCGAAAGCUGUUUUACAGUCAAUUAGAGAUUGUCACGCCUGAUUCCGAAUACUUAGGUAAGCACAUCAAGUAUAUACGUACAUAAAAGGAAAUAAAACAAGUCAGUCAAAUUUGUAAAGAACUCUCUUGAUUUUCAUGCAAAAUUUCUACACAAAAUAGUGAAAUAAACAGCUCUUUCUGAAAUGACUAUACCCAAGCGUUAAAAUGCUAAAAAUUUUGAGGCGGUAAUGUGAAAGUUCUUCAAAUGAAAGACUUAGUAACAUUUUAAUCUACUUACAAUAGUUUAGCGCGCAAGCCAGUUCAAGUCAGAUGCGUCUGUAUAAUCUGGAUUUCUUUCGGCGUUGGUAACAGCUGAAGAGGUCAGCUAAUGUCCUCAGUUUUUUCAAGUCUGUUUAUCUUGGCUUUUGCUAGUGGCAUCUGAUUAUUUUUAGUGCAUACCCCUGGAUUGACAAUAUAUUUAUAUUUCUCAGUGUGGGCAAAAGAAACACUAGGUAUAUAACACGCUGGUGAAGUUUUUGUUAGCUUGUAUUUAUGGUCAUGAAAAUUGAGUUACGCUCCCAGCUAGCUUGCCCGGUAGCGAAAAUAUACACAAUUUAUUUCCUCAAGGAAUGAAUUUGUUUUGGGAAGAUUUUGAGCUUAGAUGCCGGUGAAACAAUAUUCGCGAGUUGCUAAUUAGUUUGGGCAGGGCCCAGAUACCCCCUGAUCCAAACAAAAUGUAAGUUUACCGGAAAAUAUUCGUUAUCCAGCAUGCCCUAUCAGACAUUAUGGCGAGGGUAAGAUAAGCUUUCAUUUGGUCUCGCUUCCUGAUCGGAUCGAAGCGCCACUCGAUUUGCACACUAAUUUAAACAAAUAUAAUAACACGACCACCGAAAGGGGGGCAAAUCACACUAAAUGGCGCAUCGGAAAUUUCUCUAAUAAUAGAUCUUAAUAACAAGUCAGCAUAAUCUCCUGGAUUCUAGGAGGCAGGCAAAUCUGUGGCGGUGUGUAGUGUUUCAUAGGCAGAUGGUAGGAAUAAAUUAUGCAGUUUUGGAACACACACGGUUUUUGUCAGAUGAGUGCUCUAAACGGCGUUAUCAAUAGGCCUGAGGACAUCCGGCCCUUUUCAUGGAUGACUCGAUGUCGAAGAUAAAUGUGACUGCGUGCGGAUCAAACUACGUUUUCGUUGAAUACAACGAGCCAUUAGGAACAGACAUUUAUGUUUAAACUAGAAUCAGUACCCAGAGGCGAUCACAAGACAAAAGACCUAUUUACCGUCUUGUCAUACUCUUAUUUUUCAAUAGUUAGCCCCAUUAGAUCUUUGCGGGAAGUUUGCGCCUUUGUAAGCCUCUCUGAUCCCCUUGGGUCUGUUAAAUUGCUCUGCUAUUGGACAUUUGUGCGGUCGAUAAGUACCUUAUAUACAAGCUCAAUGAUGACAAUAUCUUUAUUUAUCCACACAUGUCAUGACAGGCUAGGUUCAAGUAGGGCCAAAUGCGGUCUAGGAACAAUUGCGGGAGCUGUUUCAACAGCGAAUAUGACAACAAUGCUAUGCUAAACAAUGAAAGGAAACGUGCUAUUAGCAAGA